UACACCUACUCCAACAAGGGUACACCUCCAAGUAGUGCCACUCCCUGAGCCAAGCACACACAAACCGUCACAUAGAUGAGUCAGGCAGAACAGUCUGGGCAUUGGUAUAAAUGCUUCAACUUGCAGCUAUUAAAUAAGACUUGUUACAGUGAACGCUUAGCAAUAGGAGAAGGUGCACAUUUCAAACAAUGUGGGAACUGGUACACGUAGGGGAAAUGUUGCUAGUAAACCCAGCACAAGGCUGGGUAAGACAGCCCUGCUGCACUGGGUGAAAUUCUGAGCUUGUAACAGUGACUGGAGUGCCACCGUGUCCUCCUGUGUGCAAUUAUUAUUAUUGUUGUUAUUGUUAUUGUCAACUCACUAUAAACCAAGGUCACCUGCUGUGGGCGAGCACGGCCACCUGGGCUCCUGAUCCUGGAGGCUGUCAGAAAGCAGGCCAAGCAAGCCAGAUGGAGCAAGCUAGUAAGCAGUUUUAUUCCAUGCCCCCUGCUUCAGUCUCUGCAUCCAGGUUCCUUCUCUGACUUCAUGAAAGACUCUAAGCUGUCAGAAUCUACUUCAUUUGGUGCCACACACUUACAGUCCUAACUACUGGGGCAGCUGAAGCAACUGAAGAUCAGACCCAGGGAUUCAAGGCCAACCUGGGCAAUGCAAUGGCAUUAUGUUUCUAAAACAACAAUAAAACUAAGUUGAAAAAAAUUUUCCCAGCACUAGUAUUACAACAUACCUGGAAUUCAUUCAUUCAUUCAGUUUUGAUCCUGUGGACCAGCUGCUUCCUGGGCCCAUGGGGUCCUUUGCAGGCAGCUAGCCAAGAGAGAGAGGAAGCGGCUCCUGGAAUCACAGACCCAGGCUGGGAAGAGUGUACACCACCCCCUAGGGAGCUGCAGUGAUCCUCUCUGAGCCCCUCAGAAAGUGCUGCGACCAUGGACAACAUUGGUUGACGAUGGACGAUUCAAAUUCUGGAGUGCAAAGACAAAGAUAAAGGAAGAUGAUGUACUCACAUUCCAGUGGAUGAAAUGAGUCACAUGGCCCCACCCAGAAACACAGCUGUACGUGCACUGUCCUUAAGAGCCCAGAGCAGAAGGGAAAUAGUGAAUGUGCGGCUUUGCGCUUGGCACAGUACAACAAAUAUUUAAAAACACAGAAAAGUUGUUUCCUAUUUGAGCCUGGAAACAGCUGUUAGGAAUUGGAUUCAUCUUCUCAUCUCUCUAUGGACUUGAGCUGCCUCAGUUUGGAGCUGGGGCUUACACCUGAGGCAUGGUGAGUGCUUCCACCGCCCAGGAUUUCCUCUGUCCAGAGUCACAUUGUGUGGCCCAGACUGACCUCAGACUCAACAGGCCUUGGUGUCUUGUGCUACCAUCCCUAGAACAUUUUAACAUUGUGUGUGUACACGUGUGCGUGCAUGUAUGUAUCCGUGUGCACGUGUGUGUGCACAUGUGCAUCUGUGUAUUACACGCUUAGUUUUAUAUACCUCAUUUUCACCCAUAUUCCUGUCUAUUUCCUUUCUUAAAAAGUUCAACUCCCAACUCUCCAAUAUACUAGUUGGAUAAAUUUGGAAACAUUUUUAUUUUUCAUGUUUCUUUUCAGUCCCUAAGAUGAUGGCAAAAAGGAUAGCCACUAAAGAGGCCAUCAUGGUGGCCAGAGCUCAGACACGGUAGAGUCUAGUGCACAAAGUCAGUUGUCCUCUCAAGAAGCAGAACACUGUCAGUUUAAUACUGAGGCUAGUUUAUUAACACUUAAAUAUUUUAACUAAUUGUUGGAGCAUUUCGUAAAUGUAUUUUAGUCAUAUUGACCCUCAGCUCUUCCUGAGCUACUCCUGCUCAUAUCUUGAUUGCAUCCGUCUCAAUCUCUCCCAGACCCAUCCCCCACCUCUCUAAAUCCAAACUUCAUGUCCUCUCUCUCUCUUUUUAAAUUUUAUUUUAAAAAUAACCCAUGGAAUCUAAUUUGUGCUGCCCAUAUGCUCUGGGGUUGGGGUGGAGCAUGUUAGACUCGCCAGGAGGCACAUUCUUGAAGAAAACCGCCUCUCUGCCAGGCGCGACCAUCUAUCCUCACUCUAUGAUCACUCUAUGAUCAUGAGCCUCUCCCUGCCUUAAGCUAGCACACUGACUUGACUUGAUCUUGGCGGGUUGUGUGCAGGGAGCCGUGGCUACGGUGAGUUCCCAGGGGUCCCCCCCCAUGUCCAGAAGAGUCUGUUUUACUCUAGUCCUCCCCAGACCUUUCUUACAGCCUUGCCACCCUCUGGUUAGCAGUGGAGUCUGGUGUUACGCAUGUGCCUUUAGCUGAGUACCUGACAGGUACCAUCUGUCCUUCAGUUGUGAUUUUCUGCACUAACCACUAGACAGUAAUCUACAAGUGGAUAGAAACAGAUUUUCAGGGCAAUUUGAUACUAUGUCCAUGUAGCAAAUUAAUGGAAUAGGUUCACCCUUGGGUCCCAUGAAUACCCCAGCUGUAUUAGGUGUAUGUUUCCUCUUGUGGAGUGGGCCUUAAACAAGAAAGCAGUUGGUUAUCCCUGUAAAACUUGUGCUACUGUAACACCCAUUGGCAUAUCUUUUCACACUGGUCAUUAUUUCAGUUCACAGGGUUAAGAUUGACUUCUCCCUUCAUUGAGGGUCAAUAUGACUUCAUUGUUGUUAUGCAACAGGCUGCAUAACGCCCUUCAGGCCAUGAGAGCUAGACAUCAUAGAGGAAUAUCUCAGGGUCAGAAUCAACUUGAUUCUUCCAUAUCCUGUGACCAGCGUGUUUAACAUCAAGUUCUAGAGGGUAAUCAAGAGCAUUAAGUGUAGUGAUGGGGUCACCAGGACAUUCCUGACCAAAAACUGGAGGGGAGAAAUGCCACAUCUGGCAGUGGGCUUCUUAUUUGACAACCCAUGAGUUAGUUAUAUUAUGUUUAUAAGAUAGUGAGUUUUUACAACAUUUUUUGUUGGUGUUAAUAAAUUCUCUUUUUAGAACAGUUUUGGUGCAGAGAUGUUCCAUAGCUCUGCCCCACACACAUACAUUUGCACAUCUCCUCUUCAACAUCUGUAACAGAGAGGGCGUUUGCCUCCUCUGGUGAACCUACACUGGCUUAAUAUCCAGUCUCCUUUUAAUAGAAGAAUUCAAUUCUCUUUUGUAAUGGCUUAACUUCCAGGUGAGCCACACAUGCAAAUGUAUUUUAGUUUGGCUUCUCUAGAAAGUUUGGGUCAUUGGGCUUUUUCUUCUCAGGGUCACCAUAAGAGUCAACAAGCAUGAAGCAGAGACAAGAGGAAAAGGUGGUCACUUGUUGCUGGUCUGUGCAAUGGGGAGAUCUAUCCUACAAGAUGUGCCUUGAGAAUUUGUGUAUGUACCUUCUUAAGCUAGAUGUAUCAGAGGCAGAAGUGAGAUUUUACUGAUGGAUUCUCCUCUUGCAUUGGUUAAAGCAUUGCUAGCUGGAAGCUGAUGCUGCACAUGUAGGAGCUGAACAUGACUCAGCCUUUGGUGUCUCCUGUGCUGUCAGACCAAUGCCAGGUAACCAGGAGAGGUAAAGCAAGGUUGAGCAAAGUUGGAUCAUUAUAAUAUCUGUUUUUUUCCCUCACCAUGGAGUAUGUUGAUAACUCACAGAGAGUUCAUUACAUUUAUUUCUGAGCACAUGUUAUUUACAAUCUCUAUAUUUCUUCCUUUACAAUAAAAUUAACAACUGUGUAUAUGAAGGGGCAUUGGUCUCACUCAUCACUAAAGAAAUACUGUCUCCUGAUGUCAGCACUGCUCUUCUUAGGUGAGAUAACCUAACUUAGAGAAAAGAAGGACAAGUUGAUGCCAUCUGAGCAGUCCGAAUUAUUUGCUAUUGUCUUUAGGAACCGUGGCAAGGGAUCCAGAGAAUUAGAAGGCCAGAUGGCCACCUCUGAUCCAUCCUCUUCUGAUUUGCUUCCAGGCAAGUUGUACUCUUAGAUACUUAAAAACUUAAUAAAUUACCUUUGAUUUCCU